GAUGAACGCUGGCGGCGUGCCUAAUACAUGCAAGUCGAGCGAACGGACGAGAAGCUUGCUUCUCUGAUGUUAGCGGCGGACGGGUGAGUAACACGUGGAUAACCUACCUAUCAGACUGGGAUAACUUCGGGAAACCGGAGCUAAUACCGGAUAAUCUUUUGAACCGCAUGGUUCAAAAGUGAAAGACGGUCUUGCUGUCACUUAUAGAUGGAUCCGCGCUGCAUUAGCUAGUUGGUAAGGUAACGGCUUACCAAGGCAACGAUGCAUAGCCGACCUGAGAGGGUGAUCGGCCACACUGGAACGUGGACACGGUCCAGACGCCUGCGGGAGGCAGCAGUAGGGAAUCGGCCGCAAUGGGCGGAAGCCUGACGGAGCAACGCCGCGUGAGUGAUGAAGGUCUUCGGAUCGUGAAACUCUGUUAUUAGGGAAGAACAUAUGUGUAAGUAACUGUGCACAUCUUGACGGUACCUAGUCAGAAAGCCACGGCUAACUACGUG
rnacentral:rRNA from 1 species